UAUAUGUUUUGGGAUCUAGGGCUUUUCCUGGCAACAAGAAGAAGACGAAGAAGAAGAAGAAGAAGAUCAUGGCGGUGCUUGUUAGUACGUUUGCAGCAAAUCUGGUGGAGAGGCUGGCUGAUGUCCUUGAAGAGAAGGCAAUCAUGGCGUUAGGAGUCAAGGAUGAGCUCCAAAAGCUUCAGCGAAGGAUGAAGAGGAUCGCAAGUGUGCUCAAAGACGCCGAGAAGAAGAAGAUCCAAGACGAGACUGUCAAAUUAUGGGUCUAUGAGCUGAAAGAUUUGAUGUAUGAUGCCGAUGAUAUCAUUGAUCUUUGCCUGAUUCAGGGUAUGGGGCUCUUGCAAGAUGAUCAUAAUUCUCCAGCUGAGUCAAGUGCUACUACUGCCUCAACAAGGGUACGAUGCUGUAACUUUCCUAUGCUCUCUUGUGUGCGCAGUGUGCAAUUUCGCUAUGAGAUUGCUGAUAAAAUUAAAAGUUUGAAUGAUAGAUUAACUGAGAUAUCUGAGGAUAAGGAUAAGUUUCAUUUUAUUACUUCUUCUAAAUCAAGUAGUGAUGAUGCAUAUGUUGUGAACAACAAACUUUAUUCUCGUCAGAGUUCCUCCUUACCUGAACCAGACAUUGUGGGGUGGGAUAUUAGAGAUGCAACUAAUAGUCUUGUUGAGUUAUUGGUCAGUCCUAAUGAACAGAAAUGCCGCCUUUUUGCCAUUGUCGGUAUGGGGGGUAUAGGCAAAACCACACUCGCACAACAAAUUUAUAAUGAUUCAAAGAUAAAUGAUCAUUUUGUGUUACAUUCGUGGAUUUGGGUUUCUAAAUCUUUCAGAUCAGAGGCUGACUUGUUGAAAGAAAUCAUAAGAAAUGUUGGGGGUAGCUAUGGAGAGUCAACGACAGUGGCAGAGUUACAAAAAAUUCUUUCUAAUGUUCUGCAUUUGAAGAGUUUGUUCUUGGUUUUGGAUGAUGUUUGGAAUGCGGAUGUAUGGAUUGAUUUAAUUAAAAAUCCAAUACAAAUAGCAACAACGAAAUGUAGAGUCUUGGUUACCACAAGAGACAGAAAUAUUGCUAUGAGAAUGGGGGCAAUUCAUACUCACAAUGUUAAUAAAUUGUCUUUGGAUUUUGGUUGGGAAUUACUUUGUAAGAAAGUUUUCACAGACAAUGAUGUGAGUGAUAUGCAAAGAAUGAAGGAUAUUGGGUUGCAAAUCGUUGAGAAAUGCGAUGGUCUUCCGGUUGCGAUCAAAGUUAUUGCCGGUGUUCUUAUAACAAAAGACCGAAAUAAGAGAGAAUGGGAGAAUGUUCUUAACAGCGAUGCAUGGACUAUGACUGGACUUCAAGAAGAGCUCCGAGGAGCAUUAUAUUUGAGUUAUGAAGCUUUGCCUCCUGCUCUUAAACAAUGCUUCCUUUAUUGUUCUCUUAACCCUCAUGGUGAUAACUUUGAUAUGGAUCAACUUGUUCCUGAAUGGAUCGCAGAAGGGUUUAUAAAACCAAGUGGAAAUGCAUCUAUGGAAGAUGUUGCUAAAGACUAUUACAUGGAAUUAAUUAGGAGGAGUUUUUUACAACCUCAUCCAGAUUUUGCUGAUAUGUCUGUAUGCAUAAUGCAUGAUUUAUUGUGGGAUCUUGCUCAGUCUUUAGCAGGUGAUGAAAGCUUUGUAGGAGAUCCACAAGACGCACAAGGCUCUGAUUCAGUUACAAGAGUAAGACGGUUAACAGUGUCAAGUAAAAAGGAAAGCAUGACUAUUCAACAUUUUGAUCGGCUUAGAAGAGUAUCAUUAUUUACCCCACCAAGUUUGAACACACAAGUGAUUGGAAGUCUCAAACGUUUGCGUCUAUUGAUCCUUAAUGGUGAUGGGAUUGAGAAUAUCCCCGAUAGUAUUGGGGAUUUAGUACACUUGAGGCUUCUUGAUCUAUAUGGUACAAAGAUAUGCAAGCUACCAGAUUCUUUGGGAAACCUCAUCAACUUACAAUUCUUGAUGCUUAAUAGAUGUAAAUCUUUGCACAUCCUCCCUAAAAGCAUAACCAAUCUAUGUAAUCUAAGGCAUCUCAAUCUCAAAUAUGCUUCUUUGAAUUACGUGCCCAAGGGAAUAGGCAAGUUGGAACAUCUUAAUUAUUUGUCGGGAUUUAUCAUUGAAGGCAAUGACAUUGACGAAGGAGAGCAAUGUGGGCUAGAAGAGCUUCAAAUGCUUAGAAAUCUCAGUUACCUUGAAAUAAUGAACUUGGAGAAAGCAAGAGGUGAAAGUGUUUUAACGCUCUCAAAUAAGCCUCGCCUCAGACAAUUAAGUCUCAGAUGCACACCUAACACUUGUGGACACAUUCAACAGCAAGAGAUGGACAAGAUUGUGCAAGUCCUUGAUAAUCUAUCCCCUUCACCAGGCCUUACUAAUCUAAAUAUUGUCAAUUUUUUUGGGCCUAGAUAUCCAAAGUGGAUGACAUCCGCUUCCAUCAGUGCCAAUCUUCCUGAACUAACUGGUUUGCACCUUAUUGAUUGCUGCAACUGCCCUCAGCUUCCCCAACUUGGCCAACUGCCCCAGCUCGACUAUCUGAGGAUAGAUGGAGCAACUGCAAUAGUAUUAAUCGGCCCUGAAUUUCUCGGUAAUGGAGAACUUGCAGCUAAAGCCUUCCCGAAGCUUGAAUACUUAAUACUUCGCAACAUGAUUAAUUGGGGGCAAUGGUCACUUAUCAGUGGAGAUGAAGGAAAUAAGCAUGAAUCUAGCAAGCAAUUACUCUUCCCCUGUCUCAAGAGAAUUAGCAUUCAAAACUGUCCCAAACUUGAAGCUCUUCCUGCAGGCUUGAAUCAAUCUAGUGUCCAACAAUUGACAAUUGCAGGAGCUCAAAGUCUUUCAAGAAUCUCUGAUCUCCCUGCCUUGAGAGAAUUGGAAGUCUCUGAUUGCCCAAUGCUAGGGUGCAUUGAGAAGCUUGAGUCUCUGCAGAGCUUGAAGAUAAUUAAUGAAGGGAGCAACGGUCUACCUGAGUGGCUCAUCUCUUUCCUCCACGAACGUGAAGAGCAUCACGACAAUCAAUUCCACUUGCAUUUGGAGUGCACUGCCCAAGCGUUGAGGAGAUGUUUGAAAGGGCGUCGCUAUUGGGUUUUCCUCCAGCAAGUACCCCGCUUGGAAGCCUAUGCAAAAGGCGGAAGCAUGUACUUGAAAUAUACCAAGGAACCAUAUUCCUACCAAACCAACCUUAUUGAAGAUACAUCAACUGAUGAAGACUCGGAUGAAAGCUUGAAAGUUUAAUGAGAUGUGGACAUGUGUGACUGGAUGCAUAGAAAAGAUGGGUAAAACAUAUUUGCACAGCAACGCACGCCUUGAUGAGUGAACUGCAAAAUUGUUUCAGAGUGAUCUCUAAUCUUGUUUGACAGGCAUGAGCAAAUUAAUAUUUAACAAAGGGAUCAAAAUAUUAAUUAAUCAUUGUCCUCUGCUUUCCACCAUUAACAACAAAAAGACGCAUCAAGAGCAGUGCAUGAGAAGUUCGAGGUGUCUUUCAUGGUCAACUAGUGAAUAUGAUGUGUGUGCAACUGUGUAAUUGAUGGCACAUUUCCUGAGCUACAAUUCAACCUGAUGAAAAUGAAUUCUAUGCUCAAGCACAUGAUCAAGACCAAGACAAAGCUCACCAUGAUCAAAGAAGGAGACACAUAAUAUAUUGAGGACUCAUGAGAUGUAAAGAACAUUGAAACUUGGAAGCAUAUUGAGAUUGAAGUCAUCCUAGGCUUGCUGUUAUGGAUUUAUGAGCCAAAGCCAAGUUGCCAAUUUUCACAUUUAAAUAUGAUGAACAGAGUAUUGAACUGCAGUUUUGAAAUUAUUAUAAACUUUUAUCUUGUUAUGUUUGCUAUUGAACUGCAGUUUUGAAAUUGUAACACUAUGUGGACAGUCAAGCCAUAAGCUACAAGUCUGUUUUCAGGAUGGCCACCAAAUAUACUUACAACAACGUUGUUGUUAUUGCUGUUGUUU